rnacentral:rRNA from 1 species
GAUGAACGCUGGCGGCGUGCCUAAUACAUGCAAGUCGAGCGAACGGACGAGAAGCUUGCUUUUCUGAUGUUAGCGGCGGACGGGUGAGUAACACGUGGAUAACCUACCUAUAAGACUGGGAUAACUUCGGGAAACCGGAGCUAAUACCGGAUAAUAUUUUGAACCGCAUGGUUCAAAAGUGAAAGACGGUCUUGCUGUCACUUAUAGAUGGAUCCGCGCUGCAUUAGCUAGUUGGUAAGGUAACGGCUUACCAAGGCAACGAUGCAUAGCCGACCUGAGAGGGUGAUCGGCCACACUGGAACUGAGACACGGUCCAGACUCCUACGGGAGGCAGCAGUAGGGAAUCUUCCGCAAUGGGCGAAAGCCUGACGGAGCAACGCCGCAUGAGUGAUGAAGGUCUUCGGAUCGUAAAACUCUGUUAUUAGGGAAGAACAUAUGUGUAAGUAACUGUGCACAUCUUGACGGUACCUAAUCAGAAAGCCACGGCUAACUACGUGCCAGCAGCCGCGGUAAUACGUAGGUGGCAAGCGUUAUCCGGAAUUAUUGGGCGUAAAGCGCGCGUAGGCGGUUUUUUAAGUCUGAUGUGAAAGCCCACGGCUCAACCGUGGAGGGUCAUUGGAAACUGGAAAACUUGAGUGCAGAAGAGGAGAGUGGAAUUCCAUGUGUAGCGGUGAAAUGCGCAGAGAUGUGGAGGAACACCAGUGGCGAAGGCGACUUUCUGGUCUGUAACUGACGCUGAUGUGCGAAAGCGUGGGGAUCAAACAGGAUUAGAUACCCUGGUAGUCCACGCCGUAAACGAUGAGUGCUAAGUGUUAGGGGGUUUCCGCCCCUUAGUGCUGCAGCUAACGCAUUAAGCACUCCGCCUGGGGAGUACGACCGCAAGGUUGAAACUCAAAGGAAUUGACGGGGGCCCGCACAAGCGGUAGAGCAUGUGGUUUAAUUCGAAGCAACGCGAAGAACCUUACCAAAUCUUGACAUCCUUUGACAACUCUAGAGAUAGAGCCUUCCCCUUCGGGGGACAAAGUGACAGGUGGUGCAUGGUUGUCGUCAGCUCGUGUCGUGAGAUGUUGGGUUAAGUCCCGCAACGAGCGCAACCCUUAAGCUUAGUUGCCAUCAUUAAGUUGGGCACUCUAAGUUGACUGCCGGUGACAAACCGGAGGAAGGUGGGGAUGACGUCAAAUCAUCAUGCCCCUUAUGAUUUGGGCUACACACGUGCUACAAUGGACAAUACAAAGGGCAGCGAAACCGCGAGGUCAAGCAAAUCCCAUAAAGUUGUUCUCAGUUCGGAUUGUAGUCUGCAACUCGACUACAUGAAGCUGGAAUCGCUAGUAAUCGUAGAUCAGCAUGCUACGGUGAAUACGUUCCCGGGUCU